GGUGUGGUGGCUAAGGGGAAGGCAUUGGUCUUGUAAACCAAAGAUCAUGGGUUCAAAUCCCAUCCGUGCCU